rnacentral:misc_RNA from 1 species
CCGUGCUUUUAGCAUCGAACUGUGUUGGCUUGUCUUUUUCAUUAUCGGGCUCGCGUCAUCGCUUCUAGCGUCGGUUGUGGUCGCUCGUUCGGGUUCCUGCGUGUCAUAUCGGACAGGACAUUUGGAUGGACUUUCGUCCCGGAUCGUUUUUUGAAUCCUCCCCCGCUUCGUGCGGUUUCGGCGGUGAUGCGUUUGUGUCGGCAAUCGUCAUCCGAGUCGCGCAGUCGCUCGUGAUGGUUUGCCGAUGCGAUCGGCUUUCUCGGGUGCUGAGAAUUUCUCGUCAUCGCAUCGGCCACUCGGCCCUUGUGAGCGUGACGCUACCGAGCAUUGUGGCUCUCGUUUCAUACGACCCUCGUUCUCCUCCGGGAGCUCACGGAGCUUCGCUGUUCCGUGUCGUGACUGGAGAGCGAUCGAGGUCGAGGACGGAAUCUACCUGGUUGAU